GGAAUGUAGCUCAGUGGUAGAGCACUUUCCUAGUAUGUAUGAAGCUCUGGAUUUAAUCCCCAGCACAACGAAAAUAAAGAAAGAAAUAAGACAUAAUUUGAGGCUUGGGACAUUGCUCAGUGGUACACACUUAGUAUGCACAAAGCCCUGGGUUCAACUCCCAGCACCA
rnacentral:tRNA from 1 species